ensembl:misc_RNA Metazoa_SRP Metazoan signal recognition particle RNA
GCCGGGCACGGUGGCGCACGCCUGUAAUCCCAGUUACUCGCGAGGCUGAGACAGGAGGAUAGCUUGAGUUCAGGAGUUCUGGGCUAUAGUGCGCUAUGCGGAUCCGGUGUCCGCACUAAGUUCGGCGUCAAUAUAGUGACCUCCUGGGAGCGGGUGGGGGGGGGUAGAGGGGAGCACCAGGUUGCCUAAGGAGGGGUGAACCGGCCUAAGGAGGGGUGAACCGGCCCAGGACGGAAAUGGAGCAGGUCAAAAAGAUCGCAAUAUACAUUAUUUCACUCUCUCUGUUUAGCCCUUAAUUCUUAUGUGCUUGUCUAACAAAAGUAAAUUAUAAUUUUA